rnacentral:rRNA from 1 species
GGACGAACGCUGGCGGCGUGCUUAACACAUGCAAGUCGAGCGGUAAGGCCCUUUCGGGGGUACGACGAGCGGCGAACGGGUGAGUAACACGUGGGUGACCUGCCCUCAGCUCUGGGAUAAGCCUGGGAAACCGGGUCUAAUACCGGAUAUGACUCCAUGACGCAUGUUGUGGGGUGGAAAGCCUUGUGCGGCUGAGGAUGGGCCCGCGGCCUAUCAGCUUGUUGGUGGGGUGAUGGCCUACCAAGGCGACGACGGGUAGCCGGCCUGAGAGGGCGACCGGCCACACUGGGACUGAGACACGGCCCAGACUCCUACGGGAGGCAGCAGUGGGGAAUCUUGCGCAAUGGGCGAAAGCCUGACGCAGCGACGCCGCGUGAGGGAUGACGGCC